UACAGAGGUCCCAAGCGUUGUUCGGAAUCACUGGGCGUAAAGGGUGCGUAGGCGGUAUGGUAAGACUUGGGUGAAAUCUCCAUGCUUAACGUGGAGGGAGCCUGGGAGACUGCCGUGCUGGAGGAUUGGAAGGGAGACUGGAAUUCUUGGAGUAGCAGUGAAAUGCGUAGAUAUCAAGAGGAACACCAGUGGCGAAGGCGAGUCUCUGGACAAGACCUGACGCUGAGGCACGAAGGCCAGGGGAUCAAACGGG
rnacentral:rRNA from 1 species